UGGGGGAUCAUCCAACGGUAGGAUACAUGACUCUGGAUCAUGUCAUGAAGGUUCGAGUCCUUCUCCCCCAGCCA
rnacentral:tRNA from 1 species